UGCCUUUCAAACAGUCGGAAGUGUGAGUUACCAGAAACCACAAGAGAGAGAGAGCGAGCACGAGCCCCAAAGCGAGCGACAUGUCCCUGUGGGGAGCAGUGCCUCUGCACCCCAGAGUGAGGAGGACGCAGGGGUCAGAGGUGGCUGCAGGGCGGGCAGAGGAGGGAGCUGUGCAGGGGGCUGAGCUGGUGGCCCGGGAGCCGUCAGGAAGGGAGGCCGGCUGGUGACCAGAGAGCCCAGAGGCGCCUGGGGCUGUGUGGAGAGCCCGGAAGAUUGCAGCCAUGCCUCACAGCUCCGACAGCAGCGACUCCAGCUUCAGCCGCUCUCCUCCCCCCGGCAAACAGGACUCAUCUGAUGAUGUGAGAAAAGUUCAGAGAAGGGAGAAAAAUCGCAUUGCCGCCCAGAAGAGCCGACAAAGGCAGACACAGAAAGCUGACACGCUGCACUUGGUGAGUGUUCAGACCUUUCUUCAUCCUUUUGAGUCUUAGGCUUUGCUCCCC